CUUUUGGUUGUCACAACUGGGGAGGUGGCACUACUGGAAUCUAGUGGGAAGAGGUGGGGCGCUGCCAAAUAUCCUCCAACACACAGGACAGCCUUCUACAACAAAAUAUUAUCUGGCCCCCACGGUCAACAGUACUAAGGUUGAAAAACCUUGCCCUAAAUUGUUUAGUACGAACACUGCCAGCUUCUAGUUUCUUGAUGCUACUUCAUUUUUUUUCUUUCAUUCUCUUUGUUUUUGUGGUUUCAUGCCUUUUAAAAACGCUUUACUUUCAGUUAAGAGUCAUUUCUAGCAGGAGUGAUAGUAAACAUCAUUGCUUAAUUGGCACACUUAACCAUAACUCACUUGGUGGAAUUUUAAUUUAUAUUUGUCAAAAAUAUUUCGAUUUGUUUCAAGUGUUGACAUAGAUGAAUAUUCAGUGUCAAGAAGAAUGUGUCACCCAAAGAGUGAAAACAGAGUCCAUGUGGAAUCCACUAGGAAUGGACUUUGGGUCUCAUGGAACAUCCCCUAUAGCUGUUCGAAAGAGCAAGGGAAGAGUCAACUGAUCUCAAGGGUGACAGAGGGAAAGCAGGGAACAGAUACCCGAGCACACACAGGGGGAGGACCACGCGAGGACACAGCAAGAGGGCAGCCAUCUGCAAGCCAAGGACAGAUGUCACAGAAGGACCGGACCCUGCCAGCCCACCUCCACCCCCCAUCUGAGACUUGUGGCCUCCAGCACCGUGAGGAAAGGACAUCUCUGUUGCUCAAGCAACUCAGUCUGUGGUAUUUCGUUAUGGCAGGCCAAGCUGAUUAAUACACAAGGCGAAAGAAUAUCACAAUAAAACAUUUCCCUGAAGAACGAUCCAGACCUUCCCCUUGAUAAAUCCCCUUAGUUCAGCAAUCUCACAAAACACAAGAAGAUCUAUCUAGAGAAGUUCAGUAACUGCUCAAUGAUUCAACUGAGAGCCUGACUAUUUACAAUCGAUGCUGUCUUCCAAAAGGUUACGUCUCAAAGGUUCGUGUCCGACCCGUGCGUGUUCUCCCUCCCGGUCCUCUGAUGAUACUCUCCUGAGUCAUCCCUCAGCUCCCUAAUUGGUUUCUGUUUUCCAAGUGCCAGUUUUCUGAUGGAAGCUGUUUACAGCCUCACCACUUUGGGCAGAGGAGGGGGCGGGAGGGAGACUGUUGACACAAGCUGUUUCUAAGAAACUCAUCGCUUGUUGUCCCCUUGGUACAGUCUGUGAUGGGAGAAGGGUCCAAAGGGACCGACUUAGGGAACAAAAUAGAAAAUUCGAAGCUGGGUGUGAUUACUCGCAGGGUGAUAUUCAUGCAACGUUGGGCAGCUAUGGCCUGAGCUCCUACUCUGCACCGUGUUCUGGGCCAAGCACCGGGGGUGGAGCCCAGAAUGAGCUGACAUUCUAGCUAAGUGUGAUGUCUUAAUUAGUGGACCCAGAGACCCAUGCUGCUUUCAGGUGAAGUUGUGUAUAUUUGUUAAAAAUCCCACACUCUGAAGGGAUCACAGAGAACACUGGAGAGGAGGGUGAGGAAGGGUGGGGAAGGGGUCUGAUCUCCAGAGGAGCUAAGUGGCAGGUGCAGGGUGAAGAGGGGCAGGUGGUGACAGAGGGGGGCUAAAGAGGCAGCCUCUGAAGCGAAGGGGCCCCGACCUCCUCUCCUCUGUAACCUCAGGGCAAGCCCCAGCUCCGUACAGAGGCGGAUGCCUCCUCUGUGGCAGAAAGCCUUGCUGUUCCUGGGCUCCCCUAGCCCCUCUAGGAGGGAGAAGUUUCCAGAAGGAAGGCCUGAGCUCUGUUUCUGGGGCAGGAGAGGGAAACACUGAUGCAUCCACUGCAAGCCCCACCUGAGCAACUGCAGUAAAGGCCUUCGCAGUGGCCCUCCACUAACCUCAGACCUUCCCCUUAGCACCCCCACCUCACCCCAGCCCACCCCAGCCCACCGUGGGGACAGAAAGCAGAUCCCCAAACAAUACCCAGGGUCAACCAAACCAAAAGCUGGUUCUUUGGGAAAAUGUCCAGCUCUACCCGCAUGGAAAAUAAUCAGCCCACAGAAAAUUAAAGGUUUUACUGCUUCAGGAAACAGAGAAAUAGAUGGAAAAAUUGAGAGGAAAAAAUGCUAAUGCUAAGUGAUGAAGAGUGACCAUGGGAAUGAACUUAUUAAAGACCUGACCCGGAGCCUCUGUCACUGUUGGGUUUCUGUCAGCGGGCACGCCAUUUGAAAGCCUGAUGCGAGUUCAGUGGAUUUGACCUGAUGCUGGAAGGAAGAGAUUACUCAAAUUCUGCAAAGAUGACAGCUUCCAGGGAUCCUCGUGGGGUACAGGAGCUAUUCUGUUACUUCUGAGUUUGAACCUUUGAACCUUGAAUUUCUUGUUGGGCUCUUCAUCUGUGGCCCCGGUUGAACCAAACUUGCUGAUAUUCAUGCCAUUUUAAAUCCCCUCCCCUUGAGGCUGGGCUGGUCCUGUGACCACUGGGAUGGAUAAAAGUAUGGUGGAAAUGACUUUCUGGGACUUCUUAGCCCAGCUAUACUAAGAAUGUCUGGAGAGUUCUGCUCUUGCAUUCUGGGAGAGGGGGCCGCAUUGUAAGGGGUAUGACCACUCUGAGCCUAGCAUGGAGAGAAGAAACCCAGGCCAGCUAGCCACACGAAGAGGCCCAUAGAAAGGGGGUGCCCGGCGAGCCCCACCUCAUGUGCCAGGCAUAUAAGCAAGCAGGCGGUCUUGGGUGGAUUCCAGCCACAUGGAGCCAUGUGGAACAGAGAUGGGCCGCUCCUGCCAAGCCCUGCCCAAACCGCAGAAUU